rnacentral:tRNA from 1 species
GGGUGUUAGCUCAGUUGGUUAGAGCGCCGGCCUGUCACGUCGGAGGUCGAGGGUUCAAGUCCCUUACAU